UACGUAGGGGCUAGCGUUGUCCGGAUUUAUUGGGCGUAAAGAGCGUGUAGGCGGCCAGGUAGGUCUGCUGUGAAAACUCGAGGCUCAACCUCGAGACGUCGGCGGGAAACCAUCUGGCUAGAGUCCGGAAGAGGCGAGUGGAAUUCCCGGGUGUAGCGGUGAAAUGCGCAGAUAUCGGGAGGAACACCAAUGGCGAAGGCAGCUCGCUGGGACGGUACUGACGCUGAGACGGCGAAAGCGUGGGGAGCAAACAGGG
rnacentral:rRNA from 1 species